rnacentral:rRNA from 1 species
AAGCGCUUGUGACCAGACUUGGGCUUGGUUGAUCAUCCGGGGUUCUCCCCGGUGCACUCUUCCGGCUCAGGCCAGCAUCAGUUCGCCCUGGGGGAUAAAAGCCUUGGGAAUGUGGCUCCUCCGGGAGUGUUAUAACCCAGGGUAUAAUACCCCUAAGGAGACCGAGGUUCGCGCUCUGCAAGGAUGCUGGCGUAAUGGUCAUCAGCGA